GGUGAGUGCGGCCGGGACGGGACCCGAGGCUGACGACGGGACCUAAGGCAGUGGGCGGGCCCUUGGCGAUGAACGCAGUCGGGGACUAAAGCUGGACGCGGGGCAGGGGAGGGUCCUCCUCGAAUAGUGAGCGCGGUCUCCAGCGGCGAGCAAGGCCUGGGUGUCACCUGCAGGAUGCCAUGGGAUACCCACGAGCCCAGGCAAAUCUCCCAAGACCUUGCCAAGCCAAUCUCCAGGGCUGCUCCGGGUCCUGCCCCAGGUGCUGUGUGAGGGAGCUGCGCCGCCUGUGCCCAACCCAGGAGGGGAGCAGCGUGCAGGACACCGAGGAUGUCAUCACGACCUUAGGAUGGGGCGCAGCCCCAGCCAGAUGGCGUCCGACUCUCCAGCCAAUGGCAGCUCACCCUGUUGUGGUUUGAUUUUCCCUACACAAUUAAUACAUAUUCAUCGUGGAGAAAAUAGGAGAUAAAGAUAAGCAAAAAGGAGAAGCCAAAUCAAUGGAAUCCCCAUCAUACAGAGAUACUUUCUUAACACUUUGGAUUAAUUUGUGUCCUAUCAAUAUUUUUCUAUACCUGAAAAUAGGUGUUUUACGUGUAUAAUCACUAACAUGUAAAUACAUACUGCACAUGGAUGUGCAUUUUCACAUACAUUUUUGGUUUUUUGAGACAGAGUUUCACUCUUGUCACCCAGGCUGGAGUGCAGUGGCGCAAUCUUGGCUCAAUGGAACCUCUGCCUCCUGGGUUCAAGUGAUUCUCCUGCCUCAGCCUCCCGAGUAGCUGGGAUUACAGGCGUGCACCAUCACGCCCCACUAAUUUUUUGUAUUUUUAGUAGAGAUGGGGUUUCACUAUGCUGGCCAGGAUGGUCACAAACUCCUGACCUCAGGUGAUCCGCCCACCUCGGCCUCCCAAAGUGCUAAGAUUACAGGCAUGAGCCACCGUGCCCGGCCUUUUUAUUUUUAUUUUUAUUUUUUGAGAUGGAGCCUGGCUCUGUCCCCCGGACUGGAGUGCAGUGGUGUGAUCCUGGUUCACUGCAACCUCCACCUCCUGGGUUCAAGUGAUUCUCCCGCCUCAGCUUCCCAAGUCACUGGGAUCACAGAUGUGCACCACCAUGCCCAGGGACCCCGGGCAGCACGUGGUAGGACCAGCUUUCAGGUUGUCCUCCUGGGACCCCAGAGCUCUGAAGGAUCCUCUUCUUGGACCUCCUCCCCAACCGUGCCCAGCCACCUCAGUCAUCCAAGAGGU